UUUAUGUAAUGUCCUGAUUUUAGAGAUUAUAUUGUUGCUUCCUGCCUGGGGGAAUCCUUUUUUGGGAGGUGUUAGCUGGCCCUGUUGGUUUCCUUUCUGGAAUUCCCAUUUUCAGAGUGUUUUCUUUAUGUAAUGUCCUGAUUUUAGAGAUUAUAUUGUUGCUUCCUGCCUGGGGGAAUCCUUUGUUGGGAGGUGUUAGCUGGCCCUGUUGGUUUCCUUUCUGGAAUUCCCAUUUUCAGAGUGUUUUCUUUAUGUAAUGUCCUGAUUUUAGAGAUUAUAUUGUUGCUUCCUGCCUGGGGGAAUCCUUUGUUGGGAGGUGUUAGCUGGCCCUGUUGGUUUCCUUUCUGGAAUUCCCAUUUUCAGAGUGUUUUCUUUAUGUAAUGUCCUGAUUUUAGAGAUUAUAUUGUUGCUUCCUGCCUGGGGGAAUCCUUUGUUGGGAGGUGUUAGCUGGCCCUGUUGGUUUCCUUUCUGGAAUUCCCAUUUUCAGAGUGUUUUCUUUAUUUAAUGUCCUGAUUUUAGAGAUUAUAUUGUUGCUUCCUGCCUGGGGGAAUCCUUUGUUGGGAGGUGUUAGCUGGCCCUGUUGGUUUCCUUUCUGGAAUUCCCAUUUUCAGAGUGUUUUCUUUAUUUAAUGUCCUGAUUUUAGAGAUUAUAUUGUUGCUUCCUGCCUGGGGGAAUCCUUUGUUGGGAGAUGUUAGCUGGCCCAGUUGUUUCCUUUCUGGAAUUGAGAGGCCUCCAUCUAAAAAAAACCUAAACCCAAACAUUGCGGCCUGGGGGCCUCCCUCCUUGGGGCCAGGGCGCUUCCCGGCCUUGAGGUGUUUAUCUCCCAAAGAAAAGAGUUAAAAGAAAGGAAACCUUGGUCCUUGCCGCCUCCCUCCGGCCUGGCGGGAGGCGGAGGUGGAUCUUGGGGGGGAAGGUUCGGGCUCCGGCUCUCUCGUGGCUGGGGCCGCCCUGAGGGCUGCGGGGCACCGAGGAGCCUGCGAUGGUCUUCAUGGGGAGGGGGGGCCUUUCUGGAAGCCCCCCCCGCCUUCGGCUCUGCAGGCCUCCACAUCCCAAAAAAAGAAAAGAAAAAGAAAAGAAACCUUGGGGCCUCGCGGCCUCGGGAGGCUGAGGUGGGUCGGGGGGGGGCUCCCUCCGGCCUGUGGCGCAUGGAGGAGGUGGUGCUUGGGGGGGGGUUGUUCCACGCCUGCUGUGGCCCCGCCACGGCCUGAGAAUGUUUACUCCAUGGCCCCGCCGCGUGGAGGCCCCUCCUCCUCCGACCACCAUGGGGUCUUCCAGCCAGGCUGACGGCUGGGGUUUUAAGGUCCCAUGGAGGUUUUUGACGGGAUUUUUUAUUGUAUCUACCUAGAGGCGUGGAUGAUGGGUUGUGUUGUCCAAUUUCAAGGCUGGGAGCCCCGUAGUUUAGUUGUUUUGCUCGGUGCCGCGAUUCCAUCACUCUUUUAUAUAUAUAGAUACUAAUAGUAAUACCAUAUAAUAAUAUUAAUGAUAUGGUAUAUAUUACAUAUUAUAUAAUAGUUGUGCUGGUACAGCUGUACCAGAACCUUCUAUUUUACUUUCUUGCUGCAAAUGUUUGCAGCCAUAGGACAGGCCACCUGUCAAUCACCAUUAAGUUUGGUUCCGCCCCCUGUUCAGGGCUCUGGGAGGGAAGGAGCCAUUUUUAAGUUAGUCUCUCUUAGAAAGCUCAGCUGUAGGACAUAAACCAGCUCGUCCCGUAAAAGGCUUCCUAUUUCAAGAAUACCAGGGAUAAAGAAUACCAGGGAUAAAGAAUACCAGGGAUAAAGACCACCAGGGAUAAAGAGCACCAAGGUUAAAGAACCCCAGGGAUGUUGACUGUCCAGGGAUACAGAACAACAGCACAGAAACAUCUGAAAGCCUCAGCUGAUGACCGCUGCUGCCUUAUGAGGUUUCUACCUGGUCCGCCAGGAUGCCAGCCACCUUCUCGAUCUCCUCCCGGACGGCGACGGACUGCCCGCACCACGGGGCAUAGAAGUAGAAAAGACUGACAUCCGAGUCACGCCGGAUGUCCUCUGCGUGGUCCAGUUGCCCAAGGAAAAGGUCGUGGACCGGAGACGUCAGAGCAAAGAAGCUGACUGGAGGCCUGGCGGGCAAGGUGACGUCUUUGGCACGGCUGGGGAAAGAGAUGCAAUCGUCAGGAGACCCUCUAUUCAAUGCAACAGAGGCUUCAAAUAUGUGUCCCUCUGACUCCCAGAAAUCCCUAUUUGCAGCUUUUUCAAUGGCCAGGAAUUCUGGGGGCUGGAGUCCCAAAGCCCUGGAAGGUCACAAGUUUGAUAAGUAUGAGGAGUGGCUUAAAGAGCUGGGUCUGUUUUGCCUUCAGAAGAGGAGGCUGAGAAGACACAUGAUCGCCGUGUUUAAAUAUGUGAAAAGGUUUCAUAAGGAAGAGGGAGCAAGCUUCCUUUCUAGAACUUAGUGGAGCCAUGGGUUCAAAUUACAGGAAAAGAGAUUCCACCUGAACAUUAGGAAGAACUUCCUGAUCAAAAGGAGAGCUUUUCAACAGUGGAACUCUCUGCCUCAGAGUCUGGGGAAGCUCCUUCCUUGGAGGCUUCUAAACAGAGGCUCAAUGGCCAUCUGUCGGGGAGGCUUUGGUUGUGCUUUUCCUGUCUUGCAGGGGGUUGGACUAGAUGGCCCAUGUGAUCAUGUCCAACUCUAUUAUUAUUCUAUGAUUCUACCAGUACGAUACAACUUCCUUUUCUUGCACCUAAAAACACGGGAAGGCUUUCCCAGGGACUACAGUCAACUGGAAUAUGGGCUGCCUAAGAACAUUUAAGGAAGCCACUCUGCAGUUUAUACCUGUUUAAGGUGUUUUGUGGAGAGAAAAAGCAGAGUAUAAAUAAUAAUGAUACAAAUGCAAUUAAGGCCAAGAUCAAAAAAUCAGCUGAUGACCCAAAAUGCAGACUGUGCAAGGGAGCUGACAAAACCAUGGAUCAUAUCCUCAGCUGCUGUAAGAACAUCGCACAGACAGACUACAAACAGAGGCAGAACUAUGUGGCCCAAAUGAUUCAUUGGAACUUAUGCCUCAAGUACCACCUCCCAGUAGCAAAGAACUGGUGGGAUCACAAACCUGCAAAAGUAUUGGAAAAUCAACACGCAAAGAUACUGUGGGACUUCCGAAUCCAGACUGGCAAAGUUCUGGAACACAACACACCAGACAUCACAGUUGUGGAAAAGAACAAGGUUUGGAUCAUUGAUGUCACCAUCCCAGGUGACAGUCGCAUUGACGAAAAACAACAGGAAAAACUCAGGACCUCAAGAUUGAACUUCAAAGACUCUGGCAGAAACCAGUGCAGGUGGUCCCAGUGGUGAUGGGCACACUGGGUGCCGUGCCAAAAGAUCUCAGCCGGCAUUUGGAAACAAUAGACACUGACAAAAUUACGAUCUGCCAACUGCAAAAGGCCACCCUGCUGGGACUGGCACGCAUCAUCUGAAAAUACAUCACACAGUCCUAGACACUUGGGAAGUGUUUGACUUGUGAUUUUGUGAUACGAAAUCCAGCAUAUCUAUCUUGUUUUCUGUGUCAUAAAAUAAUAAUAAUAAUAAUAAUAAUAAUAAUAAUCACGGCCUUUUCCUGCAAAAGGCACAUUUUGUGGUGUCAAGCAGUGAAAAAAACACAGCACCUGAGAAAAGACAGGUUUCUAAUUUUUGCACAAAUAAUGUGGGCCUUCUCCCCCAGGAAAUGCCCUCCUCCUGCUUUCUGUACAUUCAAAGCAAGCGACACGUUAAACAUGACGUGGCAGAACAAAUACACACGCACAGCACAUAGCACACUGCUUCCUGGUCCAUUCCUUUCCAUGAUAUAUAUGUGUCAAUAUUUAAAGAGACUAAGAAAUCCUGGAGCACCUUUGAGACUAGGGGCGGGGGGAAGCGUUUUGAGUAUAGUUUUACACAAGUUUCUGAGAUACUUUCAGAGGAUUAUAAACUCACAGUUACAGUCAUAGUCUGCUACAGGCAUAGACAAAGUAUCUUUUGUUUACAAUUUGAUUUCAAAGGUGCUACAUGAGUCCUACAUGUAGUCCUUUUUUCCUACAUUGAUACAGAUUAGUAAGGUCAUGCCUUUGUGUAAAAUUGUAGCAGAUGCAAUAAUAAUAAUAAUAAUAAUAAUACAGUUUUCCAAAACUUGAAAUGAUCCACAAAGAUACUGGCAUCUUUGCCUUCUGGUGUCAAACUUUGUUUCAUGUACAAAAUUGUUAUUAAAACUCUGAAUUAGAAGUUUUGAAUUUGAAGCCUAUAGGUCAAUUUAGCACCCUGUGUUUGGUGUAUGUUUUUAUAAUGAUGGAUUUUUACCUAUUUACUGUAUGUUCAUAUGUUUUUACUCUGUUGAACCCCAAUUUGAGCCAUUAGGAGAAGUGGGUAAAAAUAAAAUGUAUUAUUACGAUUA